rnacentral:rRNA from 1 species
ACUCAAAGGAAUUGACGGGGGCCCGCACAAGCGGAGGAACAUGUGGUUUAAUUCGAUGAUACGCGAGGAACCUUACCUGGGCUUGAAAUGCAUUUGACCGGCACAGAGACGUGCCUUCUCUUCGGAGCAGAUGUGUAGGUGCUGCAUGGUUGUCGUCAGCUCGUGCCGUGAGGUGUCGGCUUAAGUGCCAUAACGAGCGCAACCCUUAUCGUUAGUUGCUAACAGGUCAUGCUGAGGACUCUAGCGAGACUGCCAUCGUAAGAUGUGAGGAAGGUGGGGAUGACGUCAAAUCAGCACGGCCCUUAUGUCCAGGGCGACACACGUGUUACAAUGGGUGGUACAAAGGGCAGCUACCGGGCGACCGGAUGCUAAUCUCCAAAACCACUCUCAGUUCGGAUCGAAGUCUGCAACUCGACUUCGUGAAGCUGGAUUCGCUAGUAAUCGCGCAUCAGCCACGGCGCGGUGAAUACGUUCCCGGGCCUUGUACACACCGCCCGU